UACGUAGGGUGCAAGCGUUAAUCGGAAUUACUGGGCGUAAAGCGUGCGCAGGCGGCUUUGCAAGACAGAUGUGAAAUCCCCGGGCUUAACCUGGGAACUGCAUUUGUGACUGCAUGGCUGGAGUGCGGCAGAGGGGGAUGGAAUUCCGCGUGUAGCAGUGAAAUGCGUAGAGAUGUGGAGGAAUACCGAUGGCGAAGGCAGCCCCCUGGGAUAACACUGACGCUCAUGCACGAAAGCGUGGGAGCAAACAGG
rnacentral:rRNA from 1 species